UUCGUAGGCGGUGUAGCAAGUUGGGAGUGAAAUCUCUGGGCUCAACUCAGAGGCUGCUUCCAAAACUGCUGUGCUGGAGUGUGGGAGAGGCGCGUGGAAUUGCAGGUGUAGCGGUGAAAUGCGUAGAUAUCUGCAGGAACACCCGUGGCGAAAGCGGCGCGCUGGACCACUACUGACGCUGAGGAACGAAAGCUAGGGGAGCAAACAGGAUUAGAUACCCUGGUAGUCCUAGCCCUAAACGAUCAGGACUUGGGGUGCCACCCGUUCGGGUGUCGUCCCGGAGCUAACGCGUUAAGUCCUGCACCUGGGGAGUACGGUCGCAAGACUGAA
rnacentral:rRNA from 1 species